UUCAAGUACUUCCUCCAAGGAAUGGGCUACAUUGCCUACCUGAAGGACCGCAGGCUGAGCGGAGGAUCAGUGCCCUCGGCCAGCAUGACCCGCCUGGCCCGAUCCCGCACAGCCUCCUUGACCAGCGCCAGCUCGGUGGACGGCGGCCGCCCCAGGGCCUGCACCCAUUCGGAAAGCAGCGAGGCCAUGGGGCAGGUCAACCACACCAUGGAGGUCUCCUGCUGAGGAGGAGGAGGAG